UACGAAGGGUGAUAGCGUUGUUAGGAAUUACUGGGCGUAAAGCGCGUGUAGGCGGCUUGUUAAGUUAGAUGUGAAAUCCCGGGGCUCAACCUCGGAAUUGCAUUUGAUACUGGCAAGCUAGAAUCUUGUAGAGGGUGAUGGAAUUCCUAGUGUAGAGGUGAAAUUCGUAGAUAUUAGGAGGAACACCAGUGGCGAAGGCGGUCACCUGGGCAAGUAUUGACGCUGAGACGCGAAAGCGUGGGGAGCAAACAGG
rnacentral:rRNA from 1 species